rnacentral:rRNA from 1 species
GUACACGCUGUGACUAGCAUAUCAAUAAGCGGAGGAAAAGAAACUAACAAGGAUUCCCUCAGUAACGGCGAGUGAAGCGGGAAGAGCUCAAAUUUGAAAUCUUGAAAGGUCACCUUUCACGAAUUGUAGUUUAAAGAAGUGUUUUCUGUUACGAUCGUAAUAUAAGUUCUUUGGAAUAGGACAUCAUAGAGGGUGAGAAUCCCGUAUUGACCUUGGACUUGUCAGCUUUGUGAUACACUUUCAAAGAGUCGGGUUGUUUGGGAAUGCAGCCCAAAACGGGAGGUAAAUUUCUUCUAAGGCUAAAUAUUGGCGAGAGACCGAUAGCGAACAAGUACCGUGAGGGAAAGAUGAAAAGAACUUUGAAAAGAGAGUUAAAUAGUACGUGAAAUUGUCAAAAGGGAAGCGUUUAACACCAGUGUUGUUUUCUGAAAAUCAACCUCUGUUAGCUUUAUGCAUGUUUGUUUAGACCUAAUCAGCUAUCUUGCAUGUUCUAUUGUUUGCAGUGGUGCACUUUUCAGUUUACAGGUCAACAUCAGUUUUUUUUACCGUAAAAAAGUUAAAGAAAGGUAGCUCAUGGCUCCGGUCGUGAGUGUUAUAGUCUUUUUCCUAUGCGGUAGGAGAGACUGAGGUCUGCAGUGUAGGCUAUUUGGCUAGAUACUCAGGUGCUAUGUGAUACCAUUUCAUAAACAACUUGUUGAUUAUGUUUUGUCUAUUGCAUACUCGCUUGUACUAUCAUACCUACGCUUAGGAUGUUGAACUACUGAGACAUAG